GAUGAACGCUAGCUACAGGCUUAACACAUGCAAGUCGAGGGGUAACAAGAGAAAAGCUUGCUUUUCUUGUUGACGACCGGCGCACGGGUGAGUAACGCGUAUCCAACCUGCCUCUAACUAGGGAAUAACCUUGCGAAAGUAAGACUAAUGCCCUAUGACUUCCUUUGGCGGCAUCAAAAAAGGAGUAAAGAUUUAGCGGUUAGAGAUGGGGAUGCGUCUGAUUAGCUUGUUGGCGGGAUAACGGCCCACCAAGGCAACGAUCAGUAGGGGUUCUGAGAGGAAGGUCCCCCACAUUGGAACUGAGACACGGUCCAAACUCCUACGGGAGGCAGCAGUGAGGAAUAUUGGUCAAUGGGCGGAAGCCUGAACCAGCCAAGUAGCGUGCAGGAUGACGGCCCCAUGGGUUGUAAACUGCUUUUAUACAGGGAUAAAGUUAGCCACGUGUGGUUAUUUGCAGGUACUGUAUGAAUAAGGACCGGCUAAUUCCGUGCCAGCAGCCGCCGUAA
rnacentral:rRNA from 1 species